UGUCUCUAGAUUUUGCCCGUGAUAGCAGAUCCGUCGUUUGUCAUCACGCACACGUUGCCAUUGAAGCCGUCGCCAUCAACGAAUAUGGGAGUUGGUUUGCAGCAGUCGUUGUUCGCCUCCGACGUGAUGGAGUUGGUUUGUGAUUGUGAAGCAUGAAAACGGGGAAAAACAGCUUGAAACCUUUUUCGGGUCGUUUGUGUAAUUUUCGAAAAAUUGCAGGCCGUUUCGAAAUUUAGAAAACUUGGCCAGAAACGCUUCCGGCGAUUGCUACCCAGUAGAGGCACAAAUCCCUAAAAAAAGCUCUGCCUCUUUUUUUCCCUCUUUUCUUCUUCUUCUUCUUCUAGCUAUUGCUUCCAGUUCGAUCGCCUUCGCCACCGUUUGCUUCCAGUCUUUCUUGGCCUUCUCGCUUCGGCGCUCCCUCGGUUCCAGUCAUUCCUUCUCGGCCCUCCGCCAUUUGCUCCGGUGCUCCCUUAGCUCGAGAUCUUUUUUUCUCGCCACCGAUCGUUCCUUCUUUAUUUGGAAGACCUAGAAUUUGCACUGGUGACUUGUUUCUUUUCUUUUUCUCCGUCUGAUUUUCUACUUCAGUUGGUGUAUAUAUGCCUAUGACUAUUGCCUAAGAGUUUGCGAUGGAGGCUGCGAUGGAGUUGGUUUGCGACCGGCACAUGGGCUACUACUAUUGUUUAGCAUGGAGAUGCUAAUGAGAUGGGGUGGUGUGUCACACGCUACAUUGCAUGUACAAAUAGUAGACAUGUGGGUAGGUAUUGAAAAAACAUCCACUGAAUGUGACACCUGCGACAUAUCACAUGGCUUGAGGAUUAAUGAUAUGUUGUUGGCUCUCGAUUGUGUAUCUGGUCCUUUGACUAGAGGCGACAUAGUGUCUUGUGCAUUGGUGUCAGGGAUUUGCUGUUGAGCGGAACUAUCCGAUGUAAGAGGUGAGAAUGUUUUAUGUGCGGUCUCUGUGUAAUGGUGUAUAGAGGCAAAUGUUUGUCGAUGAGAUCCAUUGACCUCCAUUUGUUGGGGCGAACAUCCUAUGUAAUCCAUGUAGGUGAUUGUGAUUGAAAAUCCAUUGACCUCCAUUAGGAUUGUCCUGAGUCUUGUCUGGAGGAUAUUCAAGAUCUUUCAGGGUGCUAUGAGGAUUUGGAGAGAUCCUUUUAGUUAGGUCGAUGGGGAUUGACCGACGUUAAGGAGUUGAUGUAUCUUGAUUGUUACAUGGUUGUGAAUCUAGAAAGUCACACGCAUACCGAGUAAUGUAGCCGAUUAGUGAUUCAUUGUUAUUGGUGGUUUCCUCGUUGCUGUUAGUCAGUGAUGUUGGUUGCUUGUGUGUGUGAAACUCGUGGAUCUAUGGUUAUGGGAAGCUGCCAUUGGAUAGCAGGGCCUUAGUGGCAUUUGGACAAAGUUGGAGCUUGACAGAUAGAAUCGGUCGACAGGUACAUAGAGCGGUCGACCAGUGCUCUCAUGCUAUUGAUUGGUCUUGUGCUGUUGACAGGUACAUGGAGUGGUAACAGUCGACCGGUGCUUGCAUGCUGCUGACCGAUGCAUAAGGAGAGUUGACUACCUUAAAAUGGUCAACCGGGUUCCUCAUUCUGUCGAUCAUUUUUUGCCACUUAUUUUAUCUCAUCCGAGCAUUUAUUGCUCUGAUGCAAGUGAUGGGCAAGGCAUGAGAAGCAGGUGGAGGCGUGGACUACAAGAAGAGAGAAGAGAAGGGUUGGUAGAGGGGUUGUUGAGAAGAAGAGAAGAGAAGAGAAGAGAUUGAUUGAGAGGGUGAGGAGGUUCACGAGCUGCUCCCUUCUGCGUCUUCUUCUUCCUUGUUUUUCUUUUUCCAUUGCCAUUUUUUCUCUGGCUCCUGCUUGCUGUUCGCUUAUUCUUCCUUGCUUGAGUUGUGGCCUUGCUCGUUCUUGCUCCAGGCUUGGCUGACACAACUUCUUCAUCACUCUUUCCCUCAUAGAGAGAUCGUUGGACAGCCACCAAGCAACUGAGGAAGGGACUGCACACAGCUUUGGGUCACCUCCAUCGAGAGGGUCCUAGCACGGAUCUGUUGGAGGGUUCCGUGGUAGUUCGGGCAUGGACCAACCAAGUCCUCUAUGCUUGUGGAGGCGGGCUGGUCACUUGAGUGCUUGCAAGGACGAGGAACAAACGAGGAGAUUGUUGGAAGAUUGUUGGUCAGCGAGGAAGCAGUCACCGUGUGGGCAACCGGCAUCAGAUCUUUCUUUGAAAGCUCGUGCUUUCGGAGACUGGCACGUGGAAGGAUUAAAGGGUCUUGCUGGUGGGCCACUUUGCGCCUGAACUUAUGAGCAUGAGACUUACAGAGGAGGAUGAAUUCCUCAUCAUUGGCUGUGACGGAAUCUGGGACUUGUUUAUGAGCCAAAAUGCAGUGGAUUUUGCACGACGAAGACGUCAGGAGCACGAUGAUCCCGUUGUGUGUAGCAAGGAUCUAGU